rnacentral:lncRNA from 1 species
GGAUUCUCUCCUGGAAGCUCCAUGGCUUUGACUCACAUCCUCGUUUACUAGAAACCAAAUUUAAAAGUCUCCCCCUCCAGAAGGGCGUUCUCCACGUGGCAGGGCACAUGGCCACCUGGAGCCCUGGAGCCACAUCCUCAUGACUCAGCCACCAAAGAGGAAAGAGGAAAGGUGAGGAAAGUCGAGCCCCACCUUCACUGCUAAAUCCUGGGCCCCGACUCUGGCUGGGUCUGCAGCCCUGAGGGAGGAAGGCUCUUCUACCAGAAGGAGCGGGAGAGGAGUUGGAUGUCUGGGGCUUCGCAGCUGCCCUGAUU